UACGUAGGGUGCAGGCGUUAAUCGGAAUUACUGGGCGUAAAGCGUGCGCAGGCGGUUUCUUAAGUCAGAUGUGAAAGCCCCGGGCUUAACCUGGGAACUGCGUUUGAAACUGGGAGACUUGAGUGUGGCAGAGGGGGGUGGAAUUCCACGUGUAGCAGUGAAAUGCGUAGAUAUGUGGAGGAACACCGAUGGCGAAGGCAGCCCCCUGGGUUAACACUGACGCUCAUGCACGAAAGCGUGGGGAGCAAAUAGG
rnacentral:rRNA from 1 species